rnacentral:lncRNA from 1 species
GAAGAUGAUGGUAGCUUAACCGCAAAGCUGGAAUUAUGCCACACUGCUCUUCUGGUAAGUUCCAUAUCUCACUCUCAUAUAUUCUUUCCCAUUUUCCAUGAUAUUUAACCGUGCGAAGCAAGCUUCCAAUGGCUUUUGCAGCCAAAGGUAAGCCAUUGCACCUUCUAACAAUUUUCUCUCCAAUUUCUUUAAACUGGAGAUGUCCAUUAAAAUUUCUGGCUUUUAAUGCAUGCUGUGUACAUAUGGAUAAACAAUCAUCAUCCGAUAAUUUAUCCAAAUGAAAAGCUUUGAGCGGAUCCACAAUAGAUGAAACAAUUUGAAGACGAGUGGUUACAAUGAUACUGGUCCCUGGUCCAAACGGAGACCGUAAGAUGGUCCAAUCAUUAUAACUCUCGUUCCAAAUGUCAUCUAAAACAAGCAAGAAUCUUUUCCCACACAACUUCUCCUUCAACUUAACUUGAAGUAAAUUCAAGUCAUCCUCGUCACGAGAGUCAGGAUCGAUGGAUUUUAAAAUUGUCCUGGUUAUAUUAACUGCGUCAAAAUGAUCAGAAACGCAUACCCAGGCCUUGUGGUGAAAAGACUGGUUGAUGGUGGCAUCAUUGUAAACAAGCUGAGCAAGAGUUGUUUUACCCAUCCCUCCCAUGCCGACGAUGGAAAGGACUGAAACUCCGUUGGAGUUAUCACCUUUGAGAAACUCAAUCAUUUCUGUCUUCUCCUUGUGUCUGCCAACAUAAUCCACAACUCCAUCCAGUACGGAAGUUGGUUGCAGCCUAGGUUGCUUUCCCUUGGAGGUUGGAGCUUGAGACAAGAUCUCACUCAACCCCAAACUACUUCUUCGAGUAGUCAAACUAUUCAGUCUAGCAGUGAUCUCUUUCACCUUUGGAAUCAUGGAAUUCUGAAACAGGAAAGAAGUGGGAGGGAAAAUACUACGAAUAAUCCUUUCAGGAAUGAAUUUCCGUAUCUUACUAGGUCUGGCUUGAGCUUGAGUGUCUUGGAGAUUGAGGCGUAACUUUUCAUAAGCGAACUCGUCCAAGAUGUCAUCCACAUCGUAUGCCAAGUCCUGGAGAUCCUCCAACCAUUUCUUCACAGCCAUGUUCUUGAUCUGCUUCCCCUCUGCAUCGUCCAACACUGCUUGGAUAUCAGGCAAUAUGGACUGCCACUGCUUGAGCUGCUGGUGGAGUUGGUAGUGAUCAGCAACAAAGUUGAGUGCAGAGUCAAGCGAUUUGCCCACCAACAGGUCCAGGAACCCAGAAAGAGCAGCCUCUCCAAUGACAGACAUGGUGGAAUUGUGAGAAAUAAGGUGACAAGAGAAAUGAGCAAAGCCAAAAUGGAAAGUCAGGGAACAAAAAAGAAAUGAGUUGGAAGUCUUUUGGUGUUAAUGGGGAAGGAAAAAUGGAAAUGAUGGGACCUUUGCUUUUGAAUUUUGAUGCUCUUCUUUUCUCUUGCUUUUGGUCAUUUUCCUAAAUUGACCUUCACCGUAUAUGUAAUUUAAUUAAACAUCAAAAUAUUAUAUUUCUCACAACUUUAUCGCCAAAAUAUAGCAAACACCAAUACUCAAAAUUUUUGAAUCCCAAAUAUUUACAGUAUUUAGCAUAUAGAAAACAAAAUUCCGAAAUUAAAUAAUAAUUUUUAUGAUUUUACCAUUUUAAUAGUUUAUAUCUUUAUAAAAUUUAAAAGAUUAAAUCAGAUUUUUAUCAUAUUUAGGGGAGUAAAGUGUAAUUUUAUAUUUACUAAUUUAAAAUUUUAAAAUAUUCAAAGAGCUUAAAUGAAAAAAUUUUUAUUUUAGAGGACCAUGCCAACCCCCUAGCUACACCCGAGAUUGAUUGUAGCUAUAUUGUUAAUUGAUUUACUAUUUUACUAUUUAUACUAUUAUUUAAGCUUAUGACUAGUUGAUGUCACGAGUUAAUAAAGUACCAACUUGGUUAAAGAAAAUAUGAAAAUGUCACUCUAGUCUUUUUAUUAAAAAUAAAAAUAAAAAUAUGUGCAUAUAAUGAGAUUUUGAACCCAUAUCAAUUACAUUAAUAGAAUUAUUAAUUUACCACUCAACUAAAACUUUAAUAUUUUUAUACAUUUUAAUUUUAUUGUGCACACUUUAUUGUUAAUUAAUUUCAAACAUUAUGCUUUAAUUAUUUAUUGUAUGUUAUAUUCAAACGCACACUUAUAUUCUAAAUAUAUGAUUCUCAAAUAUACAUGUGUGAUAAGUAUACUAAUUGUAACCUAUCUUACUAAUUGUUGUACUAAUUUAUGAUUUGCUUUCUUACUAGCUAGAUCUGUUAGCCAAACUCAAAUUACCUUCCUUUUAGAUCAAUUAAUUGACUUAAACCUAACUCAAUUACAUUUCUUUCUAGAGUGAUUAACCAAAAUAAUCGACCGAACCGAUUAAACGAGAUUGUUUCUAUUAUUAUAUUUAUGAAAUCGUGAUCGUUUAGUUAUUGGUAUUUUUUGUUGGGGUUAGCUUAAUUUAAUUUUCAAUUUUUCUAAACUAAAAUUUACAUCUAGAUUUGAUGAUGAUUGCUUGUCCACAGUCCAUGGGUUUCAAUUAUACCAACCUAUUCAAUCUUCUUUUUUCCCUAAUGCAUGUGAGGUCUCUUUUUCUUUUCCUUAGCAAAGUAUUUAGGGUCUCUCUUUUUUUUCAAAGUAAUCUUUAUCUUUAAUAAAAUAAUUUAAAAACCCUAAUCACUUUCCCAUAAUUGAUGGAACUUACAAGUAUAAUUAACAAAAAAAAAAAUACAAUUACAAAUACUUUAUGUCUGGCCAACUAGCUAGAAUCAACUUAGUAUAUAAUACAAAAAGAUUAAAAUCUAAUCAAAUACAAACAAAUAACAUUACGAGUGAAAUAUAGGAAAGAACUCACACAUGAUAUUUACAUAUUAUGAAACUCAAAUUUGGGCACUCGAGGCCCAACUUUGCCAACACCAACAAACCUCAUUGGCUCAUAAGUAAAUAUUUUAAUGUAUAGCUAAUUCAUUACUGAAUCAGUACUCUAGAAAUUAGUUAUUCUUGAGUUGAAAGAUUAGUAUGUAUGACAAAUUUAUAUAGUUUUAGAGAAGAAGAUGGAAGAUGGCCAAAUAGAAAGGACCAUUGCAAGGAUGAUAGUGAAGUUCCAGUUCCUACUCAAUUUCUGGUAUUAAAGAUGAUAGACAAUGUGGAAGGGAAACUAUUGAACAGGUCAUAUUGAAGAAAUAGCAGGGUGAUUAUAACCAAAGUGUAUUAAGGGUGGGACCUUGGCUUUUGAAUUUUGAUGAAAUCUCUCUGCCAUUUCUGAAAUUCCAAUUUUCCUUUAAGGAAAACGAUGACGACGAUGCCAAUCUAAUUCCCAUUCAAUUAAACCCUGAUCUCGAUCACAAUGCCAUCUAAUGCCCAUAUAUCAAUUUAUUAUUUCCAUUCACUUUAAAGCCUAUUGUAGUUUUGGUUCAAUUUAAUAUUGCCAUUAAACAUCAUGAUUAAUUGACACAAUUAAUAUAGCAACCACACACAUGUCCUACUUUCUUUUUGGGUUGAAAACAUCACUGUAAAUGCAAAAGGAGAGAAGGUGAAGCCUUUCAAAUUCUCCACAUGCCAAAUGGUGCUGACAUGUCAGAUGGGCUGAUGUGGCAUACUAUGUUAGAAAAAUUAUAAAAAUAUUUUAAAAUUAAUAAAACAUAUAAAUACAUCUAGAAUGAAUUUAUCCAAAUUCAAAUGAAUUUGGACAAAAGAAUAUAGCCUUUAUACCAAAGCAAUUAGUUUUAUAUUAGAGGUAUUAGAGUUUAGGUUCUAUUUUGUUAAUCUACUCAUACAUGUUAUCUAUUAUGUUAAUUUUGUCUCAAAUUCGAAAAUAAUUGGUGCUUAAAAUGAUUCAAACCCAAGAUGACAUAAAUUUGAGAUGACCUUAUUUGAAAAACUUGAAUGGCAAACUCAAAUGGUCAUAACCCAAAAUAGCUCAAACAUGAAACAACUUAAACCCAAAAUUGACCCGAACCAUAAUGACUCUCUAUUUAUAGCAUUAACAAAAAGGAAAAAUAGUAAAUAUGCAAGGGCAAAAGAGUAAAAACCGUAGGGUUGCCCCUUCCGCGCAACAGUAAAAUAUAUAUUUUGUUGCCAAAUUUUUUGCAACCGUCAAAAAUUGAAAAAUAUUUUAAAGAAAUUAUUUUCUGGAAAAUAAUAUUGAUUAAAAUUAGAGAUAAAUUAUGGAUGAAAAUAUUGAAUUAUUUCAAAUGAUGAAGAGCAACUUUAAUAAUGUAGAGGGACUGGAUUGGUGUACCGAGGAUGAUGCUUUGAAGGCUACUCUCAGAAGAGUCGAUCUGUAGCUCAAGUGGUACCAUACACCUCAACAAUUGACCUAUAUUCAAUAGAUUAAGGGUUUGAAUCUCAUCAAGGGUGAGACUCUCAUGUCGCCUCUUAGUGGUGAUCACAAGUCCACAUACGGUUAAGGCACCCCUUUUUGUGAGUAGUACAUGGCUCUCCACGGAGUGGGGGACAAAACCCUCUCACAGGGGACAAUACCUUCUGUUGUUGAGAGACUGGAUCGGCAUCCCCAAAGACGACACUUCAAAGACUUCUCUCGAAUAAGCCGUCCCCAUUAACAAAUAAAUAAUUACUCUACACAACCGUAUUCUAUCUUUUAAAAUUAUUAUUUUGUCCCUUAAGAUAUCCAUUAAUCUUUUUAUGUAUUUCUAAUAUACAUGCUAUAUAUAUAGUAAAAUGAAUAUAUAUAUAAUCUACACUAAAUAUGAGAAGAUUAUAAAUAUAAUAAUCUAUAAUUAUUAUUUAUUUAUGCCUUUUUCCAACUACGUCGCUCUGAUUUUUUUUUUUAAUUUCUUUUUCAUUUUUUGAUCAGUCCUAUUUUAUGCAAAUUCAGAUGUGUAUAUGAAGAUAUAAAUUCAUAUAUUAUUUAUCAGUCACAUUCAAAUUCAAUUAACAUAAACUUGAAGAUUCAUUUCUAACUCAUUAGUUAUUAUUUGUAAUUUCCUCUUCAUUUUCUUUCCCAUUUUCGAUUGUGUAACACGCAUGUAUCUGGAUGAAAAAACAGCUUAGUUGAAAUGACAAAGUUAAGACUUUGAAGAUAUGAGUAUCCUAAUAAUUUAUUUUGGAUUUAAACUAUCUUUUUUAUAGAUUUUAUAUAAACACAUAAAUAAAAAGACAAAAAGCAAACUCAUAAUAUUAUUUGUACCUUUUAAAUAGAAGCCACUUUUUUUAAGUUAUUUUUUAACUAAAUUGAUCUUUAGUUAAACUUGUGACUCCAACUCAAUUAGAUAAUUAAAUAUAGUAUAAAUAACAAAAAAUGGAAUUGAAAUUGACAUACACGUAUGUUGUGUGUAGCCUUAAAUACUCCUCUUUCAUGGUGUUCACCUCAAUUCAGGGGCGGAGCUUUAAAAAAAAUCAGAGGAGGUUGAAAUAAAGUUGUAUAUUUUUACGAUGCAAAAAUGAAAUUUCCCUAUUUUAAUAACUUAUAUCUUUAUAAUUUUUAAAGGAUUAUAUCAAUUUUUUCUCAUUCUUGAGGGGGUCAAAGUAUAAUUUUGCCACAUACUAAUUUAAAAAAUUUUAAAUUAUAAAUGAACUAAAGGUGAAAUUUUCCAAUUUAGGGGGGAUCGGGCCCCCUGCCAGCCCCCUUGGCUCCACCCCUGCCUCAAUUCCUUGCAACUUCUGCUUAUUUAACAAAAAAAAAAUUAGAAAUGUAAUUAUUAUUGUCGACUGAGUCUUAACUCAGUUGGUAUCAACAAUAUUAAAAAAAAUUUUGGAACAUGCUUUUUCAUUUAAGAUAUAAAUUAAAAUAUAAUAAAAAAAACUCACUCACCUCAUUAUCAUAGAAAAAUCUUCACUCGCCUUUCAACUUUUUUUUUAUUGAAAAAACCCCUCAUCCUUCGACUUCUUUUUUACUUCUUAAUUUUGAAUUUAUUGAAUGAUGAAUUUUUAUUUGUGAAGUUUAUUAAUCAAUAUUUUAUAUAAUUGAUAAAUAUUUUUAUAUUUAAAUUUUAUUUAUAUAUUAAAUAUUUUAAAAAUAUCGAUAACUUCGAAAUAGUACAUGAAAUAAACUAGUACUAAUACGUACCGAUUUUCAUAGAAAAGUGGUGCAUCCACCAAUGUGGUAAUGGCUACCUUGAAAGCAACUAUGUGGCAUACUUGUUUGCAAAUAAAUGGGUUAAACCAUGCUGAGUUAGUAUUGUGGGUAGCUAUACACAUAAAAUAAAAUAAAAUACCUCGCCAAUAAUUAUCCCCAAACUUGGAGCAAUUUUCUAAAUGCACAUCAGCUAUACACUUUCCGCGUUUUGAGAAAUACCUGGCAAUAAUAAAUAACAAGUGACCAACAAUCUCAAAAUGUCAAAAACAAUACUUUAUUUAAAGCAUCCUAGCCUCUUAUCAAUCAUCAAUGGAGACCUAAGACAGAUUCAAGAUUUGUUUAGAUAGAAAUAGUUGAUACUAAAAGCAUUAGAAACCAAACUUACCACGUUGUGCGGUUGUUGUGCCCAUGAGCUGGUAUUGCCCUCUUUGGAUGCCCACCAUUCAAGGGUUUAUCACCCAAAGGUACGUACACCUCCCCAGUGGUACUAUUUGGCCUUUUAUCUGCCACCAAUUUCAUGGUUCCCAAAGCUGAACGAGAGUACAAGGCUAAAUAAAUAACAUAUUUGGCUCCUCGACUACAACUAUAUACCAAGCACCAAAAUAUGCUCCAACACAGGCAAGGAAUGUCAGAACAACAAAUUCUCCAUAUAACCUAUACUUACCCUAUCAUAAACAUUGAUAACAUCACAGUUGAAGCCUUUCAAAGCAGGGGAAAUUCAUAAAAAGAUUGACAGAAAAUAUGCCUAUCUACCCGACCGGAAAGCUGAAAAGCAACAUUAAAAAAUAGCUGCAAUGAAACUAGUUCCAAACUUCUACGUAUAUAUAUCGUUUGAUUCAUUUAACUCGUACCACAAAGUCAAAAGCAAAAGAGUCGAGAUAUAGUGAGUCACUUAGUCACUGCUAUUUUUGGCUAGAAAAUAAAGUAUUUUGUACCUCUAAGUAAAAGCGAAAUAAAUAAAGUCACAUAGUCAAUCACUUACACAGUGAGUUUGUUUUUGUCGCUCAAUCCACAUGACCAAAGAAGCAAUUCCUCAUCCAAGUGAAUUGAUGCAGCCUUUGAAUUGGUUCAUGAUCUGAGAAAUUCGAAAAACUAAGGACAUCUUUGAGAUUGGACAGAACAAUAUUUUGGGAACUCUGCUGUCUUACAUGUGUUAAAUUGAGCUCUCUAAUGCCAUGUUGUAACGUGUCCUGUAUCCCUGCAUUAAUCCUGGAAGGAUCAAACUAUCACGUAAAAGACUUGUUCUUCUGAAAAACCAUUGGUUAAUAGUAAUACGAAAUGUCAAAUAUUUUGAACUAAAAUCCCAUUCUCAUAUACCGAAAUAGCUUAGAAAUUAGAAGAUGCAAAUGAAAACAGAACAUCUAAUUUGCUGAAUAAAUGUUGCAGAGAAUUGACUAACCGCUUUACUAAAUAAAUAAGCUGAAGCAGAUGAGUUGAAUUUGAAGCCGAUUGCAUACAUCGCCCCUUGAUGAUAACCAUAUUAGAGAUGGACAGCUUCUUAUUACUAAGUGCUUAAGAAAACAAGUGUUGCUACUCAUACUCUUAUUAUUAUUUUCUUUUUCAUCAACCAAAUAUUGCAAAUUCACGCAAUUCUCAAUACUCAGCUCUUUUAAAGCAGGAGGAAAAGUUACUCUCUGCAAAACAAACCAAGCCUGGACACUUUUCAAGUUCUAUUGUCGUAAUGAAUGGGAAAAUGGGAAAGCAUGUAAGACGUUCGGUAGUCUAUUGAGCCUUUCACAAGCCCUUAUCUCCAGAGAUUCAACACCUGGAAUCUUGUCAAGUUGCAAUAUCUCCUCCUCCGUUUCCAAAGAGACCAAUUGCAGACAAUUCCUAAUCGCGAUGAAAGAUGCCCAACUAUGCUUAACCCAUUUUGCGAUGAAGAUCCCAACUCCUUCCAACCAUAGAUGUUCAAUGUUUCAGAGUUUGCAAAUCUCAACAUUAUCCUCUCUGCUGAAAUAUUAAACUUUGAAAUAUUUGAAAGAUACACGUAUUUCAAAGAGGUAACCUUCUGUACAGACAAAGAACCUUCAUCCACCAAUUCUUCACACCCUUUAUCGCUUAAUUCACACAGCAAGGGAAAACUUGAAAUUGAAACUAGCAGUCUCUUACACUCAUAGAUUUCAAGUCUCUGCAAGGAUUGAAGGAUGGUUGGCAACCUUCCCAACAAUAGAGGACAUUCUCUGAUUGAAAGAAAACGAAGGCUGGGGAAUUUCGAUACUUGCCCAUCAUCUUCAGAUAGGUCCCACUCCUCCCAAUUCAGCAUAUUGCCAAAACGCAGAAACUCUAAUGAUGCAAAAGCAUUUGAUUGAUUUUCUCCAAACAACUCAGCACCAAUCUUGUGUACUUGACCCAAACCGCUAAUUGAAAGAUCUUUUAACAACAACAACCUUCCAAUCGAUGGUAGAGAUUUGCAAUUUUUACAGUUGUGAAGCUCCAAUGACAACAUAUUCUUGAAGGAAGAAUCUGCAAUCCAAGUAGAGAAUUUUGCACCACCAUAAUUCUGAAUGACGAGUUGUUCAAGCUUUUUCGAAGGAUGAAGCGAGUCUAACACCCAUUCUUCAACUUUUUUUUUCCUUGUAUCUUUAGAUAAUGCAAGUUGACAAGAUUUCCCAUCUUUGAAGGUAGCCUUUGAAGCCUGGAACAAUUUUUUUAUAAUAAAGUUUCCAAAUGGUAGAGAGUGCACAAAAAAUCGGGAAGGCAUAUGAUAGGGGUGUGAGAAAAAUUUAAGUAGCGAAGAUGUUUUAAAUUUUCAAAAACAUCAGGCAACUCAGUGAUCCAACUCAAAUCUACCACCCUUAAGUAGCCAAGUCUUGACAACAGAUCAACCAAAACAACAUUAGUUAAAAAAGGCACCCAGAAUGACAUCUUUAAAUUUCCAAAAUUUCAUCCCAUUUUAAUUCUUUUUAAAAUGUAUAUUAUUUUUAAUUGAAUAUUUUAUUUUAUUUUGUUGGUGAAUUUUUUAUUAAAAUUUAAAUAUAUCUUUUAAUGUUACAUUAUAAUAUUAUAUAUUUAAUUUAAUUUAAUUUUAUAUAAAUUACAUUCUAUACAUAUAUGAUAGAGUAGAAAAUGAUUUGGGCUUAGCCAUUUUAAUUUUGGAGCCCAAGCAUGGCUCAUUUUAAACAAGCUUAAUUUUUUUUUGUCUAAACUUAUAUUUCAAGCCUCGUUCUUUUUAUCUAAACCCUUUCAUAUUUUAAGCUCAUUUAGAAUGAGUCUAUCUACAAAAGAAAAGCUUGUGAAAAGCGCAUAAUUAGUAAUUAGAAAUUGUCACACAUGUAAAAAUAUAAUAUAUUAUAUAUAAAUUUAAAUUUUAAAAAUAAUAUUUUAUAUAUAAAUUUUAUAUUUUUGAGAAAUAAUAAUAUUUUAAAAAAGAUGGAUAGAAUUUUUUUCUAAUAAUUAGAAAUUAGUGAAUAAUAAUGAGUAGUUUAGUUUUUGAGAAAAAAAAAAGAAAUAGUUUUAAUUGAGAAAAUGAAUUUAUAAGAAAUGUUGAAAUGAUGUAAUCAUCUCUAUAUUUAACAAAAUAAUAACAUUAGAUUUUUCAUGCUUUUACCAAUUGACUUUGUGUCACUCGAUUUGAUGUAUCAAAUUUAAUUAGACAUUUUAUCAUAGCAUAAAUAAUUAUCUUGUAAUUAUAUGUAUUUAAAUUAACUUAGUUUUUAAAUCCGUCACCAAUCUUUAUAUUUUUUCUCUCUUGUAAUUAUAUUUUUACAUAAUUUUUUUAUAAUAUAUGAUAUGAUCAUAAAUUAAACCCUUAAUUAUAGUUAUUAAGCUUGCAUUUUUUCCGUUAAAGUCAAGAAAUUAAUUUUUUAUUGGGAAACAUUUUUAUAUUAGUUAAUUAUGAGAAAUCAUUUUUAUGUGAAAGUGUGUUAAACUAAUUAUAUUAUAGAAAAGUAUAUUUAAUGAUAGGCUCAAUUUACAUGUUUAUUGUGCUUAAAUUUGAUAAAUUCUUUAAUGAGAUAUCACUAAUUUUGGGUUUAUUAUUUGAUUUUUGAUUAGGUGCAAAAGCAAACUUAGAAAGUAAAAAAGUCAGAAAUGCAAGUUGUCGUAAAAGUUUUGGGACAUGAUCUGUCCUUUUUUUGGUACAAUAACAUGACAAAACCCGAAUAACAAACACGACUAACGUGCCUCAAACCCAAAUCAUAUCUGGGAUAGUGAACAACCUUAAUCACAAAGCCAUUAUAUAGGGUUCGGAAAAGAAAGAGAGUAGUUUUAAUUUUUGGUUAGGAUAAUAUUUUAAUUUUCUAGUAUUUUAUCUUUUGAUAUAUUUUUAGAUAACACUUUAAUGUUGGAUUAGAUUAAAGAAUUUAAGUAGGAUUAGGCAUUUUGAGAUUUAUAUAUAGUCUAAAAGGGACAGCAAUUCAAUUGCUUUCUUUUCUUCUCCCUUUCUAAUUCUGUUCUUUCUCUUGCACAAUAUUGUGCCGCCACGCCACCCUCCCCCCCUUUUUUUUCCCUUUCUUUUAUUUGUUUAUUUCUUUUAUUUAAUUUUUGUUGAACCCUCUACACUAGUAUGCUUAAUUUCAUGAGUAAUUAAAAUUCCCAUCUAGCUUUAAGUCAAGACUCAAUUUGGGAGAGAGUCGUAAGAUUCGAAAUCAUACUUUAAAACCUUCAUUUCAGUAUUUGUUAUUUUUCUGGUUUAGGAGAUAGAUACUAUCGUCUCAUAAGGUUGUUUUGGCACCAAAUGAGUUCAUUCCUUUGGUUUUAAUAAAGAAUCAAUACUAUCGAUUGCCGUAUUCGAUCUACCAAAAAAACACAUUGACGUGUCCAAUUAAGUGGUUGAUUUAAACAAUACUUAAACAAAUAACUACACGAUGGUGAGGACGAGUAAAAACUUUUAAUAUCAUCCAUAUAUUUUAUAGGUGGUGUAUUGCUAUGUAGUAUACACUUAAUGGGUUGGCCUAUAUGAGUGUGUAGAGAGGCCGCUUCUAUGAGAUCUUUGGCAAUCUUUAGAGCACUCAUAAAAACUAGGCACGUGCAUGACCUAUUAGCACACAAUCGCAUUGAAGAAUGAAUCAUAAAUAUAAUGUGAUAAGUGAAAAAGUUAAUUUGGAAAUUAAAUAAUUAGUUCAAAAACUUAUUUCAUCAAUUAUUAAAGUAAAUCAUGUCUCAUUUGUUAAAAAUUCUGGUUCACAGUACAAAUGACAAUAUGAUUAUUGCAAUAUAUUGAAACACUCACUUAUAAAUUAAAUCUUUGAAAUAUGUGGGAAAUUAUUGGAAGUUUUCAUUUAUUUCAAAGAACUACAAAAAUCUCACAUUGCUAAAAAAAGAUCUUGAGUCAUUAUUUAUUAAGUCAUUAUACUUCUUUGAACUUAAUAAGAAUCAAAUUGAGAGAGUAGACUCGUGCACAUUCGAGCCUUUUUGUUUUUGGACUUAUUUUUUAUUGAAGUUUUGAGAGUUAAAGAAAAGUUAACUUGUAACACCUAUAUUUAAUCAUGCUAAAUAUAAUUUAAUCGAUUGAAGCUAUUUUUAAUUAAGUCCAAAUUCAUUGAACUAUUUUCAAACUAGUUUUAGCUAAUUGAAUCAACUUACCUUUGCUAUAUUAAGCCAAUGAAAUCCCUAUAAAUACCAUGCAUGGCAGUUUUCAAAGUUACUCAUUAGCUUUCAUCUUCUCAUCUAAAUUUCUUCUAUAUUCUCUUUAGAAAACCUUCCUCCUACAAUCUCAAUUGAGUGUUUAAUUGGUCGGCUCUUUAGAAAAGCCUUCAAAGAUAAUGAUAUUCACGCUCAUGAUUCUAAUUUUCUAAACCUCCGAUUUCUUAAGAGAACAUCAAGAGCAACAACCAGUCAAAUUUUAAGCUCAAUUAAAUGAAUUCACAAACUUAUAGAGUUUAUUAUUAUUAUUUUAAUUAGUAUCAAAAGUUCUCAAUUCAAGCUUGAAUUAUAAGUCAAAUUUUAAUUUUGUUAUUCAAGCUUUAUCUCAAAUCAAGCUCAAGCUUUAAAAGUGAAAUUUGAUUGAACUUGAGUUAAAUUUUGAGUAUCGAAUUUUAAAUUAGCUCAAAAUUUUCAAGUUAAGCUUUUGACUUGAUUACAUGGUUAGUGUAAAUCUUACAAAUGUAAAGUAUAAUAUAAUUAUAUAAAUUUUGAUACUAUAAUAAUUUCAAUUUUAAAAUUUUAACACAACUAUGGUCUAGAAUGUCCCAUUAUCAAGAAGCUUAAAAAUUAGAAGAUGCAGAUGAAAACAGAGCAUUCAAUUUGCUGAAUAAAUGUUGCAGAGAAUUAAGUAACCGCUUUAUUAAAUCAAAUAAGCUAUAGCAAAUCAGUUGAAUUUAGCUUUCAGUGCCUGCAAAAUUAAAUACAAAAUAUAUACGACUGAUUGCUAUUAUCAUCUUGUUCCUGAGGACAGUCAGAUACAUGGAACUAAAACAGCCAAUGUUUAAAACGGUUUCAUACCUUGAUACAACAUAAGGUAUGUGGGAAAUCGUGGACCACUCUCGUCCUUUACCCCUAAAAGUGGACAUAAUUAAAAAGGAAAACUUGUCUGUGAUAGAAAAUGAGGGGCUUUAAUUAAAUUACAACCAACCAGGAUGAACUCUGUUUCUGGAUUGAACUAUUGGAAUUGGUAAUCAGUGACUUAUUCACUAAGAACUAACUAUUCUGUCACCUUAUAUUCUUCCUAUAAUUUCAGGUUUAAUCCUGUUGAAUUAUACAUUCAGUCCACUGCAAUAUGAACCCGUGAAAACCACACUAAAUGAAACUGAUUGUUUAAGGAUCCCAUUCAUAUGAUGCAGCACUGCAAUGGGUGAUUAAACUGACUGUUUAAUCCUGUUUCUGUACACUACGCUUCUUCAAAAUCAUGCCUAGCCGAACUCUCUGACAUUGUGGACCGCAAGCGCACUCAAGGACAUAUUGUUCUUCCCAUCUUUUACCAUGUUGAUCCCUCUGAGGUUCAGCAUCUUAGUGGGAGUAUCAAGACAUACUUUGAUGACCAUGAAUCAAAGAGGCCUGUUGAUGAAGUGAAGCGAUGGAAAACUGCCUUUGUUGAAGUCUGUAAAUUAAUUGGGUGGCAUAUAGGUGGAAAAUUCGACAAGCAUCUAUAUAGUUUCUUUUCAUUUUCUUAUAUAUUUAACUUUCUUUUUUUUUUUUUGGUUUAUUUGCUAAGCUUGAAUUCGAGUACAUUAAAGAUAUUGUUGAAUAUGUUAUAAAAAGAAGAUGACAAAUAGCGAGUCUAAAAGUGCUUCUUAAGAAUUUGUUGGAAUAGAUGAUCAAUGAAGGAUGAUUUUGAGGCCAACUAAGGAAGAAGACAACUUUCCACAUUUUGGAAAAGACCUAGCCAUAAUAAAUAACAUAUGAGCAACAUUUUCUCAAUCUCAAAAUGUAAAAAGCAAUACUGUAAUAUCCUUUGAAGUUUGUUCGAAGAACAUUAGAAUGCUAAUCAUUAGAGUUUCAACUUAAGAUUGAGCACAAAAAAUAUUGAAAAGUUUCAGGUACUAGGUGUAUUUUGAAAGAGUUGCUCCUAUGGCAUUUUCUCACCAUUCUUUUUCUUCCAUGGAUCCAAAUGCCUGUAAAAGAAAAACAAGGAAUAAAAAAGCAUAUCUACAACUCCAACAGAAGAGGGGAAUACCGGAAGAACAACCUCUACUUACCCUAUCAUAAACACUGAUAACAUCACUGUUGAAGCCUUCCAAAGCAGGGAAUCUUCAUGUAAAGAAUGAUUGAAAACCCGCUGUGACACAUUUAGCUUUGAAGCUUCAGAUAGCUAGCCUGUCAAAAUGAUCAAAUAACAUAUCACAACUACCAUACAUGUGGUCUGAGCAUGAGAAAAUGAGGGAUGCUCUGAAAAUUUGGUGAUGAUCCAUCCCAUCCAUAAUCACAACGAUUGCGCUCAACCGAUGCAUCAAGAAGAGAAGUGCACACAUAAAAGUACAAAUACCGAGGAAAGCCAACUAAACAUCCUUCAAUAGUACAAUGAAAUGUCAAAUGUUUUUAACUAAAUCCCAUUCCCAUAUACAUAAGGCAUAACAAUUGCAGUUGAGCGAUUGCUCCAAGCCCAUGCCAUAUAGUACAAAGCAAAGGAUCCUUAAGGACGAGGACGAUAUAAGAGUUAAUCAAACAUAUACGCAAAAAAAAGCUUAGAAAUCAAAAGCUGCCGAUGAAAACAGAACAUUCAAAUUGCUUAAUAAAUGUUGCCGAUGAAAAAUAUAUGAAUAUACGCAUAAAUUUAGUAUUGCCAUUAAAUAUCAUGAGCACUGCACAAAUUUAAAGAAAAAAAAUUCUCUACAUUUCCAUUUUAUUUGACAUAUCUAGAUUUGUAAUUUGAAACUUUGUUCUUAUUCACUUGAAUUAAAAUUUGAUCUAAUCUGAUUUUAUCAUUAAAAAGAGCCAACAGCCUAAAUCUUAAUUGAGACGAAUAAAAGCCUAAUCAUGUGGUUUUGUGAGAAACUAACACUAGGGUAAUCUAAAAUUAAACGCCUGAUGAUCUCUCGACUCUUUUAGCUUCUUGCUAGGGAAUUAGAUUACUCUCACACACUAACACACACAUUUCCCCUAAGGUAGCUACGCUAGUUUUCUUGACUUCCCCUCUUAAUCACAGCUCUCAUUUCUAGUGAUUUUAUCCCUACAGAUUGAUCGACCAAUCAUGCUAAAUCGCUAAAUAAAAUAUCAUGCUGGCUGUGUGAAAAGAAAAUAUAACAAGAGAACACAAUGUGGUUCGGGAAUAUUAUUCCUUAGAACAACAGGCAGAACCAAGAAUGAAAAUUACAUCAUAAAAUAAAAUACCUCACCAUAAUAACCAUUCACAAACUUUGAGCAAGGUUCUAAAAGGUCAUCGACGGUAGACUUUGCAACUCUGGUACCAUUUGGCUUUUAACCCCCCAUCAAAUUUUGUGGUUCUCAAAGCUGAGUGAAUGUAGAAGGCUAAAUAAAUAACAUAUUUGGCUCCUUCACUUCUUUUUAUGAAGGUUUCCUUGAAGUGCCCUAUAAGAGUAUGAUAAUGCUAAUCAUUAGAGUCUCGGUUUAUAGAUUAAACAAAAAAUGAAAAGUUUCAAGUAGCAUUGGUAUUAUGAAAGGGUUAAUUCAAGGCCAUUUUCUCACCAAUUUUUCUACCUUGAUUCCACACAAUCCACAUGAUCAAAAAUGUAAAUUCUCAUCAAGUGAAUUGAUGCAGCUCAAAAGUAGCCUUCUAAUGAUUUCGUUGUGUUAAUGCCUAAAUUGAGCUCUCUAAUGCCAUGCCGUGGUGUGUAGUGUAUCCUUCCUGUAAGGAUCAAUACCAUGUUCAUAGUGGUUAUGAAAUCUGUUGACACUGAUAUCCUUAUAUCAAUACCAUGUUCAUAGUGGUUAUGAAAUCUGUUGACACUGAUAUCCUUACUCAAUAACCACGAAGAUCUAUAAACUAUUACGUAAAUACUUGUUCUUCUAGAACACCUUUGGGUAAUAUUUGACAUAGAUAUGUAAAACAGUUUAUAAAAUUUUGCAUGUAUUUAAAAGAUCAUAUCUUUUAUACUCGUCAAGGUGAAACUAAGAAACAUGAUUUAAAUAGUUCACUCGCACUCACUUUUAAAGGUGGAUUCUUGAGGUUUUAGCUAAAGUUAAAAAAAGCUUGAGUUCAAUUUAACAACUAGGACUCGAAGCUUGACUCAAGUUAGAUCAAGUUUCAGUUUCAAUGUAGAGCUCGAUUUUGAUAUAAAAAUUUACUUAAGUUCGUUAUAUUAGAUUCGUUUACCAAAUAAAAUGAAAAAAAAGGGUCAAAUUCUAUUAUUAAUUCUUACACUAUGUAUAAGUCAUGGAUUUAGUUUAUGUAUUUUAAUUUGGUUAUUUUUAGUCACUAUACUUUUUAAAAUUUAAAAUUUCAAUCUUCAUCAAACAGUAACUAUUAAAUUUAUUAAGUUAAACUAUACUAUUUUAAAAAAUAUGAUAUAAAAAAUUAUAUUAUCAUAUUAACUUGUUAUUUUCAUAUAAUACUCAUAAAAAGGUCACAUUAUUUUAGUUAAUGAAUUUAACUACUAUCGUUUGAGUCAAUAUUGAAAUAUCAAAUUUGAAAAGCAUAAAGACUAAAAACGAUCAAAUUGACGACCAAAUUAAAGUACAUGAACUAAACUUACAACUUAUGCGUAAUAUAAGGACUAAUAGUGAAAUUUGACCAAAAGAAAACAUGAAAUGAAACAUGCAUACAUACGUACCCUAAGUGCAAGGAAGUGUCUGAGAGAUGGUUGUCAUCAUCUGAUGCACUAUUAUUAUCAUCAGCCUUUGAAUUAUUUGGUGAAUGUUCAAGUCUUCUUUCCAGCAAUGGAUUCAAUUCUAGUAUAUUCGAGCUCCUUUUUUGUCUCAAUUCCUCAACCUUAAAACCACAUUCAAUAAUCAACAAAAUACAAUAUUACACACUCCAAAAUCUUAAUAUUAUAUAUAAGCUAAACUACACUACUAAUCACCCAAUUAUCGGUAAGUUUAUUUUUUGAUUACCCAAUUAUAAAAAGUUACAAAAUUGUCAUGAUUUUGUCCUUUUUGUCAUCCGUUAUUAAAUGGCUAAUGGCUAAUGGAAAGAUUACGUGGCAGGUUUUAAAAUUGGCAUUAUAGCGAUUUUAACCCUCAACAUUUAUACAUUGUGUCGAUUUAGUCUUGACUCUAAAAAGUUUAUCUCUCAACAUUUACAUGUAGUGUAAUUUAGUGUUUUUUACAAUUUUUUUGUGUGACCUUUUAACAGCUUAAAAAGCUAAAAAAAUAAAUUUAUCCAGCUCAAUUUUAUCAAAAAUAUAUUAAAUUAACACUCAAUGUCACAAAAAAAAGCAAAACUGCAAAAAAGACUAAAUUAUAGAAUGUGUAAAUGUUGAGAGUUAAAUUUUUUAGAAUGAAGACUAAAUUGACACAGUAGAAAUGUUGAGAGUUAAAAUUGCUAUUAUACUAAUUUUAAAAGCCAUUAAAUUAUCUUUCUGUUAGUGAUUUAACUGUUGGUGACAAAUAGUUUACUCUUAUAUAUAUAUAUAUGUAAAUACAUGUGUGCAUGUGUGUAGCAGUUGAUUAUACGUUUGACCUACGUACCUGUUUGCGUAGAUCUUCAUUCUCCAUUAUAGUCUUCUGUUCCUGAAAAUAUACAAAUAUUAAACCAGAAAUCAUUAGCAUUAAAUGUUAAUUACAAUUAUUUCAAAAGUAAAAUGUACCUGUAAUCUAGAUCUUUUAAGCUGCUCCAUUAGAAUUUACUCCUACAACAAUAAAACUUCAGUUUCUAGAGCUCACAAUUAGGCUCCUAAUGAAAUUAUUUUAAGUUUGUGUUUGUAGGAGAGUUACUAAAUAUACUUAAAUUAUGUUUGUUUGGAGUUAAUAUUGAUUAAAAUUAGAGAUAAUUUAUGGACGAAAAUAUUAAUUUAUUUCAAAUGAUGAAGCAUAGCAACUUUAAUAAUGUUGAGGGAUUGGAUCGGCGCAUCCGAGAAUGAUACUUUGAAGAUUUCUCUCGGAAGAACUGAUCUGUAGUCAAGUGGUACCAUAUACCUCAACAAUUGACCUAUAUUCAAUAAGUUAGGGGUUCGAAUCUCACCAAGGGCAAGACGUUCAAGUCGCCUAUUGGUGGGUGGUUGUACAUCCAUGUACGGUUAAAAACUAAUAUAUAUAAGUUUUAUAGACCGUUACAAACUAAUAUACACUCAUAUAAGUCGAUAUUAACUAAAACAGAUCAAAACACAAUGAAAUUUUAACUGAAACGAAACUUAAACUACUUUAUAUUAAUUCAAUAUUGAGAGGAUAGCCAAUUAUUAAGAAAAGAAAAAUAAUGGAAAUUAAUCAAAUUAUAGGUCAACUUACUUUCAUGCUUACAAAAAAAAAUUGCUAAAAUUAAAAAUUGAAAAAACCCAGAUUUCGAUUAUUAAAAAUCAUCUAUAAUAUAUAUAAGUAUUAUACUAUAUGAUAUACCUAGUGCUGGACCAUUGAUAGACCUUGCCGGUGCUUGAAAAAAUAAUAACCCCAACCUCUGCAUCACAUAAAAUGGACAAUUCUUUAGCUUUCUUCAACAACCCAUUUCGCCUCUUUGAAAACGUUACUUGCCUGCUAUUCAAAUUUUCUAUCUUUUUUAUUUCAAUUUUCCCUCUACCCAUCUCAAAAUUUUCUUCAUUCCUUUACUUUUCCCGGAAAUUUUUAAAAGAAAAGAUAAACCCCAGAUAUUUUUUUUCUUAAAUUUUGAAAAAAACCAAAGGUUUUUAUAACAACAAACAGAUCAAAGAAAAUAAGGCAAAAAAUUUAGGGGAUUGUAAAAGGAUUCUUUUUUUAAGAGAAAAGAAAAUAAGUAAGUAAUGUUUAUAUAUAACAAUUGUUUUCUUAAAUGGAAAUGGAAAUGGAAAUGGAAAAUGAUAUGGAAAAAGAAGAUAUGUGACCAAAAUUAGGGUGAAAUCUUGAAAGGUGACAGAUUUGAUACUAUAUCUAGCAUUUAUCCAACUAUGGAAACUCUAUUUAUUAUAGCUUUAGUUUCUUUUUUCUUUUUUCUUUCUAUUUUUCUUAAUUUCUCUACCUUUUUACUCUGCUGUUUUUGGCACUUCAACUCAAAAUGGAUUUUAUUUUUGCUUUGGGUUUCUUUUUUCAAAUAUAAAAAGUGGUUUUUAAUUAUUUAUAGAUUAUUAAUGUGUUUUAACAAUUUUUGUUAGUGAAUAUUGAUUUUUUUUUUGUGAAUUACAAUAGGAGGGCAAAGCCCUAAUAACAACACGACUAGAGCGAUUCGAAUUUAGGCCACACCUGAGACGUUGAACACAAGUAUUUCACGAGGACAUAUAACACAUGUUUUUUAAAUUCAUGGCUAAAAUAAUAAUAAAAACCUCUUUAUUUUAUUGUAUUCAAAUAAUAAAAAAAACCAUGGUUUUAGUCGUAUCGGCCGGUGCCGCCGUUCUACUAUUAUAGCGCAACAAGCAUCACCCUUUUCCAUCCUAAUGAAAAUUUUGGUUUGUACCAUUCACAUUGACCAGAACACGGUACACCUGCUGCAUAAAUAAUGUUAAAAAAUAUAAAACUUUUAACUAUUUUCUAUUAGACUAAAUAUUUAAUUGAAAUGUAUUGACCAAUAAAAAAUAUUACACUAGAAAGUAAAGUUUAACCUUUAAAACUUUUUUAGAGCAUACUUUUUCUUUUAAAAUAUAAAAAUUAAAAUUAAUAAAAAAAAAACUCACUCACCUCGUUAUCAUAGAAAAAUAUUCACUCGUCCUUCAGCUUUUUUUAUUGAAAAAACCCCCUCAUCCUUCGAUUUCUUUUUUUUCUUCUUAAUUUUGAAUUUAUUGAAUGAUGAGUUUUUACUUGUGGAGUUUAUUAAUCAAUAUUUUAUAUAAUUGAUGAAUAGUUUUAUAUUAAAAAUUUAUUUAUAAUAAUUUAUUUGAUAUUUGUAUAUUUAUUUAUAUAAAUAUAUUAAAUAUUUUUAAAAAUAUCGAUAAAUUCAAAAUGGUACAUAAAAUAGACUAGUACCAAUCCAUACCGAUUCUCAUAGAAAAGAGGUUUUCUGCUUAAAAUAUUUGAAACACACAAACUUUUAAAGGAGGUAACCUUCUGUACCGACAAAGAACCUUCAUCCACCAAUUCUUCACACCCUUCAACCCAUAUUUUACGCAGCAAGGGAAAACAAGAAAUUGAAACUACCAGUCUCUUACAGUUGUAGAUUUCAAGCGUCCGCAAGGAUUGAAGGAUGGUUGGCAACCUUCCCAGCAAUAGAGGACAUUUUCUGAUUGAAAGAAAACGAAGGCUGGGGAAUUUCGAUACUUGCUCAUCAUCUUCACAUAGGUCCCACUCCUCCCAAUUCAGCAUAUUGCCAAAACGCAGAGACUCUAAUGAUGCAAAAGUAUUUGAUUGAUUUUCUCCAAACAUCUCAGCACCAAUCUUGUGUACUUGAUCCAAACCACUAAUUGAAAGAUCUUUUAACAACAACAACCUUCCAAUCGAUGGUAGAGAUUUGCAAUUUUUACAGUCGUGAAGCUCCAAUGACAACAUAUUUUUGAAGGAAGGAUCUGCAAUCCAAGUAGAGAAUUUUGCACCACCAUAAUUCUCAAUGACGAGUUGCUCAAGCUUUUUUGGAGGACAAAGAGAGUCCAACACCCAUUCUUCAACUUCUUUAUUCCUUGAAGCAUUUUCAAACUUUUUCCUCCAAUGCAAUACCAGUCGAUCAAUCCCCUGCUUCUCAUAUAACUUGCUUUCCCCUGCAUCUUCACCAUUAACAUUCUCCAACCCAGAAAGACGGAAAUCACCUUCGAGGUUUGACAAAUAUUUCAAACCUCUAAUAUAACUACCAUCACCUUCCCCUAUUAUAAAAUCAGUUAAACUUUGAAGAUUCGUUAGCUUAUCAAUUCUAAAAGGAAUCCUUUCUAUUGAGUUCGCACCUCUGAUAUCAAGAUAAUGCAAGUUGACAAGAUUUCCCAUCUUUGAAGGUAACCUUUGAAGCUUGUAACACCACCUUAAUAAUAAGGUUUCUAAAUGGUAAAGAGUGCACAAAGAAUCUGGUAGGCAUUUGAUUUUUGUGCUCGAAAAAUUUAAGUAGCGAAGAUGUUUUAAAUUUUCAAAAACAUCAGGCAACUCAGUGAUUAUAUACCCACUCAAAGAAAGCAUCCUUAGGUAGCCAAGUCUUGGUAACAAAUCAUCCAAAACAACAUUAGUUAAAAAAGGGGCCCGAUAUCACACAUUAUGGGUAAAAAAGUACGUAGAGAAUUCACUUGAUCAAAUGCUUCAAACUUCUUCACUGUGUCAUAUGUUCCAACAAUAUAAGAAGAAUGUCGAGUGCGAUUUGAGAACUUCCAUUUCUUAUCACCCUCUAAUUUUGAGCAUAUUUCCCCUGCAACUACUUGAGCUAAAUCAUUGAUAAGGUCAUGCAUUACGAAUCGGGACUUAUCUUUACUGGAUGUUUGAAAGAAUCGGGACUUAUCUUUACUGGAUGUCUGAAAAAAUGACCUGGACACUAGAUCUUGAAAAUAUUGAUUUCCGAGAUCUUUAAUUUGAGGCAUAGCUUUUUGUUGCAAGAGACCUUCUGCUCUCCAUAACAAGAUAAUUUCUUCUUCCUCAAAUUCAUAGUCUUUAGGAAGUAUGGAGCAAUUGGCAAACCAUCGUUUCAAGUCUGACGAAAGAUGAUGGUAGCUUAAUCGCAAAGCUGGAAUUAUGGCACACUGCUCUUCUGGUAAGUUCCAUAUCUCACUCUCAUAUAUUCUUUCCCAUCCUGCAUAGUCUUUAACUGUGCGUAGCAAGCUUCCAAUGGCUUUUGCAGCCAAAGGUAAGCCAUUGCACCUUCUAACAAUUUUCUCUCCAAUUUCUUUAAACUGGAGAUGUCCAUCGAAAUUUCUUGCUUUUAAUGCAUGCUGUGUAAAUAUGGAUAAACAAUCAUCAUCCGAUAGUUUAUCCAAAUGAAAAGCUUUGAGC